CCUACGUGAGGCAGUAGUGAGGAAUAUUGGUCAAUGGGCUUACGCCUGAACCAGCCAAGUCGCGUGAGGGAAGACUGCCCUAUGGGUUGUAAACCUCUUUUGUCAGGGAGCAACGCCGGCUACGUGUAGCCGGACUGAGAGUACCUGAAGAAAAAGCAUCGGCUAACUCCGUGCCAGCAGCCGCGGUAAUACGGAGGAUGCGAGCGUUAUCCGGAUUUAUUGGGUUGAAAGGGUGCGUAGGCGGAAUGCCAAGUCAGCGGUAAAAUCGCGGGGCUCAACCUCGCUCCGCCGUUGAAACUGGCGUUCUUGAGUGGGCGAGAAGUAUGCGGAAUGCGUGGUGUAGCGGUGAAAUGCAUAGAUAUCACGCAGAACUCCGAUUGCGAAGGCAGCAUACCGGCGCCCAACUGACGCUGAAGCACGAAAGCGUGGGUAUCGAACAGGAUUAGAUACCCUAGUAGUC
rnacentral:rRNA from 1 species